CUUUAAAACCCCAUUAAAACCCCAAGUGUAUGUUGCAGCAACACGGUUAUUAGUUUUAGUUUUGUGUGCGUCGCUGUCCGCUGCUCCUGACGCACCAAUUUCAACGCCUUUUCCAGCAGCGAUUAUUGUGAGCUUACAGAUCAAGAGGAUGACAGCUCGAGUGUAUUGCUCGUUGAUUGCUGUUUUGUGUCUGUCUGGAUAUUUGAGCAUUACAGAUGCUACUCCAGGAAAAACCACAGCAAAGCCUGGAGAGUGUCCACCCCAAUCAUUUGGAAUAAAAUCGUGUAACACGUCCUGUAACAGUGACUCUAACUGUCCCAACAAUAAGAAGUGCUGCAGCAAUGGAUGUGGACAUUACUGUACAGCUCCAUAUAAAGACUGAAUGCGAUUA